rnacentral:rRNA from 1 species
AGUCGAACGAUGAACUGGAGCUUGCUCCAGGGAUUAGUGGCGAACGGGUGAGUAACACGUGAGUAACCUGCCCUUGACUCUGGGAUAAGCGCUAGAAAUGGCGUCUAAUACCGGAUACGAGCUUCAGCCGCAUGGCUAGGAGUUGGAAAGAAUUUUGGUCAAGGAUGGACUCGCGGCCUAUCAGCUAGUUGGUGAGGUAAUGGCUCACCAAGGCGACGACGGGUAGCCGGCCUGAGAGGGUGACCGGCCACACUGGGACUGAGACACGGCCCAGACUCCUACGGGAGGCAGCAGUGGGGAAUAUUGCACAAUGGGCGAAAGCCUGAUGCAGCAACGCCGCGUGAGGGAUGACGGCCUUCGGGUUGUAAACCUCUUUUAGUAGGGAAGAAGCGAAAGUGACGGUACCUGCAGAAAAAGCACCGGCUAACUACGUGCCAGCAGCCGCGGUAAUACGUAGGGUGCAAGCGUUGUCCGGAAUUAUUGGGCGUAAAGAGCUCGUAGGCGGUUUGUCGCGUCUGCUGUGAAAUCUGGGGGCUCAACCCCCAGCCUGCAGUGGGUACGGGCAGACUAGAGUGCGGUAGGGGAGAUUGGAAUUCCUGGUGUAGCGGUGGAAUGCGCAGAUAUCAGGAGGAACACCGAUGGCGAAGGCAGAUCUCUGGGCCGUAACUGACGCUGAGGAGCGAAAGCAUGGGGAGCGAACAGGAUUAGAUACCCUGGUAGUCCAUGCCGUAAACGUUGGGAACUAGAUGUGGGGGCCAUUCCACGGUCUCCGUGUCGCAGCUAACGCAUUAAGUUCCCCGCCUGGGGAGUACGGCCGCAAGGCUAAAACUCAAAGGAAUUGAC